rnacentral:lncRNA from 1 species
CGAUGCAUGAACUUGCAAGCCCGACAGGAAAUCGCUUGAAUACCUGGACAUGUCACCUCACACCCCUAACAAUACCUUUGGAAGUAAUACCUUUAGCCAUGCUGGUGAUCAGAGGAGGGAAGAUCAGAGUUUAUUUGAAAAAAGUUUACUACUUUAAAGAAUUAUGAACAAAUUAGAUUUUCGAAAACAAUUUUCACAGAACACUUAUUUAUGAUUUCAACUUUGACUUUUUACCUAAUUCCAAUAUCAACAGUUUAAAAACAACAGACCAUGGCAAUUUAAAAAAAUAAGAAUAUUUUCCGUAUCAAGUUAGUUAGUCGGAUAAAACAACCGUACGAUUGACAAGAUAUUGACACGCA